CUGAUGCAGCCAUGCCGCGUGUGUGAAGAAGGCCUUCGGGUUGUAAAGCACUUUCAGCGAGGAGGAAAGGCUGAUACCUAAUACGCAUCAGCUGUGACGUUACUCGCAGAAGAAGCACCGGCUAACUCCGUGCCAGCAGCCGCGGUAAUAC
rnacentral:rRNA from 1 species